rnacentral:rRNA from 1 species
UACGGAGGGCGCAAGCGUUGUUCGGAAUUACUGGGCGUAAAGGGCGUGUAGGCGGUCUGGUAAGUCGGUUGUGAAAUCACCGGGCUCAACCCGGGAACUGCAUCCGAAACUGCUGGGCUAGAGUUCCGGAGAGGAAGGCAGAAUUCCCAAUGUAGGGGUGAAAUCCGUAGAUAUUGGGAGGAAAACCAGUGGCGAAGGCGGCCUUCUGGACGGUGACUGACGAUGAGACGCGAAAGCGUGGGGAGCAAACAGG